GUCGACCGGCGCACGGGUGAGUAACGCGUAUCCAACCUGCCCACCACUUGGGGAUAACCUUGCGAAAGUAAGACUAAUACCCAAUGAUAUCUCUAGAAGACAUCUGAAAGAGAUUAAAGAUUUAUCGGUGAUGGAUGGGGAUGCGUCUGAUUAGCUUGUUGGCGGGGUAACGGCCCACCAAGGCAACGAUCAGUAGGGGUUCUGAGAGGAAGGUCCCCCACAUUGGAACUGAGACACGGUCCAAACUCCUACGGGAGGCAGCAGUGAGGAAUAUUGGUCAAUGGGCGAGAGCCUGAACCAGCCAAGUAGCGUGCAGGAAGACGGCCCUAUGGGUUGUAAACUGCUUUUAUAAGGGAAUAAAGUGAGUCUCGUGAGACUUUUUGCAUGUACCUUAUGAAUAAGGACCGGCUAAUUCCGUGCCAGCAGCCGCGGUAAUACGGAAGGUCCGGGCGUUAUCCGGAUUUAUUGGGUUUAAAGGGAGCGUAGGCCGGAGAUUAAGCGUGUUGUGAAAUGUAGACGCUCAACGUCUGCACUGCAGCGCGAACUGGUUUCCUUGAGUACGCACAAAGUGGGCGGAAUUCGUGGUGUAGCGGUGAAAUGCUUAGAUAUCACGAAGAACUCCGAUUGCGAAGGCAGCUCACUGGAGCGCAACUGACGCUGAAGCUCGAAAGUGCGGGUAUCGAACAGGAUUAGAUACCCUGGUAGUCCGCACGGUAAACGAUGGAUGCCCGCUGUUGGUCUGAAUAGGUCAGCGGCCAAGCGAAAGCAUUAAGCAUCCCACCUGGGGAGUACGCCGGCAACGGUGAAACUCAAAGGAAUUGACGGGGGCCCGCACAAGCGGAGGAACAUGUGGUUUAAUUCGAUGAUACGCGAGGAACCUUACCCGGGCUUGAAUUGCAGAGGAAGGAUUUGGAGACAAUGACGCCCUUCGGGGCCUCUGUGAAGGUGCUGCAUGGUUGUCGUCAGCUCGUGCCGUGAGGUGUCGGCUUAAGUGCCAUAACGAGCGCAACCCCUCUCCUUAGUUGCCAUCAGUUGAAGCUGGGCACUCUGGGGACACUGCCACCGUAAGGUGUGAGGAAGGUGGGGAUGACGUCAAAUCAGCACGGCCC
rnacentral:rRNA from 1 species